AGCCAAAUGCCAGUGAGGUGUCGCACAUUGGAAGUGUGCAGGUUGCCAAAUUGUAUAACCCACUUGGAGGUUUGCAGGCAAAUGUCAGAGAGGCAUGGUCCAAGGAGCAGGAAGUGGAGAAAGGCAUUAAAAAUUUGACCUACAUUGAGAGGCUGAAGGAGCGUGCCAAGAAAGUUAAAAUACCAGAGCUCAGGAAAGCUCCACAGAGCACUCCAGAUCCUGUGCCUGAGAGGAAGAGAACGAUGCCCACGAACCCUGCCAAAAUUCUUCCCGAGACUUUGCAGUUCUGUUUCUCAACGCCCAGUCAGGGACAGGGUGAUUCAUUUACUGGCUCUGAAGAAUUACAAGCAGCCAGAGCUCCUUGCCCGCUUGCAGAGAGAGGGAGUUGUGGAAAAGGACAAGGAAUCCCUUGGAAAGAUCCUUCAGGAGAAAAACAGUUCCACCUCAGAAUGCCACCAACACCAGCCAGUCAUCAUCUCUGGGACCUUCUGAGAGAGAUACUCCACUGAGAACUGCUCAGAAACGGCUUCUGGCUUCUGAUUUUAUCAAUCCUGGGAUGAACAAGAAGCAGAGGAUUGACCAACAGCCCAGUGAUGUCCAGCCAGCAGCUGGUGGCCACUCUCCUUCGUCAUUUCUCCUGUCUUCCACAUCCUGUUCAGCUUUGAACCUGCCUCCAAGAGUCACCUCUAUUUCCACAACCACCCCUGGUGUACGACAAAAAUGUGGAAUUCAGACUCCUUCUGGAAUCCCAGUGGCUUCCAGAGUGCAGGGAAGACUGCCAUGUCUAAAGAGGAAAAAACAGAAUUGGAUAAGAUGCAAAAAUCCCAUCCUUUGGAUUUUGAUGAAGGUAUCAGUGCAGUGCUUUUCCAAACUCCUGUGUGGGCAACCCUGGUGAAAAUGGAGCAGUGAAACCAGGGACCAGAAACACAAAGGCACUGGUGUAUAUUAGUGCUUUACUAUUCUCCCUGUUUCACGGGCACAAAAAAGGGGUUUUUUUUCUGCCAUUGCAUUAUAGUACUUGCAAUAACCAGAAGCAAAGAGAUGAGCAGAGUGUGCAUGAACCAGACAGAAAAGGCGUUUUGCAAAGUGCCGAGAGUGUUAAACCUGAUGGACCAGAGUUAGACAUACUUCCAUUUCAUUUUUUACUGCAUAUCUGUAUGGUUGUUUACUCAUCUCCAACCUCUCAUCCAUCAGUACCCUCAAGUCCUCCCCACCGUCAUGCCCCAGCCUGCCUCGGUGACAGGGGAUGCCCCAAAACCAAAGACGCAGCACUUUGUCCUUGGCCUUAUCAAACCUGGUGAGGUUUCCAGGGCUCCACUUCCCAAGCUUGUCCAGGUCCCUCUGGAUGGCAUCCCAUGCCCCUGGUGCUGGUAAACUUGCUGAGGGUGCCCUUAAUCCCACUGUCCAUGUCAUUCUUGACAUAACUCGAUGCUUGAGCUUACGAAGUGGGGAAAUCAUACAAAAGCACCAUGCAUAUAAAGAACUUUUCAGAAAAACCUCCACUAUCACGCUUUACCAGCUUUUUAAAAUUACCCUAUCUUUCUAAUGCUUCAUUAUCUAAGUUCUUACAGAUUGAAAGAAGCAGAACAAAUGGAGGUUCAAUAGUCCUGGUACAUGCUUCAUAAAUCAACUUCCUUGCCUUCUUCCAAACUCCCGUAUGACUUUUUUUUAAUUUGUUUUCCUUUCCUUUGGCAAAACAAGCAGACAUUAAAAGACCCAACCAAAGUCUUCACAUCCUGCACCUGAGAAGAAGAAAUCAGUGCCCAUGAAACUUGCAGGCAGUGAAGGGAAUUCUUGCACUGCUGUUUAUGGCCGACCCUACAGGGACAGGGUGAUUCAUUUACUUGCCCUGACAAAGUACAGGAAGCCAGAGAUACUUGCCUGCCUGCAGAGAGAUGGAGUCAGGCAAAAGGACAGGGAAGGGUACCCUCGGAAUGAUCCUUCAGCACGUGAGAUUCUGGAGUUCUGCUAGCAAUUUUUCCGCCAUGCUAUAGUUUUGUUCCUAGUUUUUACUUGUUUCCUCCACUGUUUAAAUUAGAAACUAUCGAGCAACUUAUGUAACGUUUUCUGUAAAAUUUUCCUGACAUUCAUGCAGAUGCCUCAAGGUGCAAGUCGAUGUGAGGAAAAGAGAGAAAACUUGAAAAGUUUUGGAGCAUUUUUGUUUUGCUACAAUAGUUGUCAAUGAUGAAGUCUUGGUUAUGUUGUUGCUUGCCAAGCCUUAUUUUAUUCUUUCUCUUUUCCUUGCAUUCUUUAACUACUUCAUGGAGUAACUUCACAGGUGUUCCUUGAAUGUGUGAAACAGUUUCUUGUCAUACUUAAAUUUCCUGGAACAAGUUUCAGAGGACAACAUUUUGGUAGCUGCUUAUGCAGUAUUUGAUUUGAAUGGAGUAAGUGGCUUCUCACAGGUAAUUGGCUUCUGCUGGGAUCUGUGGGGAUUGCCUUCCAGGGAAGGGUGUUCCAGGCAAAUCCUACAUGAUAGAGUUUGUGGCUCCACUUUCAGCUCAGGAUUUCUUUGCUGUCAUUUGAUUGAGUCAUCACCUUCCUUGGAACCUUUCUUUAUUGUGUAAUGUUUCCUGUGCUCCUCUGAAGUCUAUAAGUAUUUCUUUAUCAUAUCCAUUCAUGAUCAGCACACCCACUGAAAGAUGCAGUAGCUCCUUUCUUCCUUUUUAAAUGUUCUCCAUCUGCAUAGGCUGUUGCUGAAUCAUGCAAGAAUUAACAUACCAAGUAGGAAUAUUUUUCUUUUUAACUAGGAAAAAAGUGUCUUGAAACUGAGUCAAGGGAGUCAAAUUCAACAGGGAUACAGUUUCAGUUGAUCCCACAAUGACUCCUAAGAACUCAUUGCUUGACCCUGUUGGUUUGUUGUUUUGUUUGCCCAGAGCAGUGGCAGGGAUUUUUCAACCUGAAGAAAUUCACAGUUUAGUGAGAGCCAUGUUCUGCUAUCCAAAUUCAGUCGGUCCGUUUAUGCUUCAUGAUGAUAACAAAUUUCAAACAUCUACUCCUUAGAAAGUAAAGGGUGAAAACACUUUCUCCUGUUCCAUUGCAAAGUUUAAGGAGAUUGCCUUGGAGGCAAUUUCCUGUAUGAGGUGUGAACUGCUUCAAGGUACUGGUUUGUAUUCUGAAAGGGCUGUGUGAGCAGCACUCCACCCUGAAAUGCCUUGCUCAGGCUUUUCUGGACAUCAGGGCAAGUGGGCUUUUUCCUGUAUAAAUCUGGAAAGGGCAGCCUGAGCUUGCGGAGAUCUGGUAUAAACACACUUGCUUCCCUUCCGACACAAUCUUAGUUCUGCUUUUAAGACAUGAAUUUCCUGAUUCUGGGUAUCUUUGUAUUUUUAUAAUUUUUUUAAGCUGGGGAGACAGACAUCAGCACAGAUCUGAAUCUGCAGUGGUUGUCAUGUUUUCAAAGAAAGAAAAAGGACAGAUUUUGAGAGGUGGUAGUGGUGUGAUGAUGAGUUAUUUAAUGUGUUGUAGAGGUCAAAUUGAUGGAGACUUUUGCUAUGGGCUUUUCUAUGGAACUCUGAGCAGGUGUCAGGUGAUGAAGUCUAAACCAGCACAUUUCAUAUUGAUGAUCUUGAGGUUUUAUUACCUCAUUUUAGCUUUUUGAGUAGAUUUUGUAUUUGUCUUGUGGAAGAUAUGAACCUUAUUGAUUUUCAAAGGAACAGAGCAAGCCAUGUAACAUGGAAUGUUUGACAAUCCUUACAGCAAAUCAGCCCCAU